rnacentral:rRNA from 1 species
ACGGCGAGUGAAGCGGUAACAGCUCAAAUUUGAAAUCUGGCCUCACGGUCCGAGUUGUAAUUUGUAGAGGAUGCUUCGAGCAUGGUCUGGCCUAAGUUCCUUGGAACAGGACGUCAUAGAGGGUGAGAAUCCCGUAUGCGGCCAGGUGCCUACGCUCAUGUGAAGCUCCUUCGACGAGUCGAGUUGUUUGGGAAUGCAGCUCAAAAUGGGUGGUAAAUUUCAUCUAAAGCUAAAUAUUGGCCAGAGACCGAUAGCGCACAAGUAGAGUGAUCGAAAGAUGAAAAGCACUUUGGAAAGAGAGUUAAACAGUACGUGAAAUUGUUGAAAGGGAAGCGCUUGCAACCAGACUUGCGCGCGGCCGAUCAUCCGGUGUUCUCACCGGUGCACUCGGCCGUGCUCAGGCCAGCAUCGGUUUUGGCGGCUGGAUAAAGGCCCUAGGAAUGUGGCUCCUCUCGGGGAGUGUUAUAGCCUAGGGUGCAAUGCAGCCUGCUGGGACCGAGGACCGCGCUUCGGCUAGGAUGCUGGCGUAAUGGUUGUAAGCGGCCCGUCUUGAAACACGGACCAAGGAGUCUAACAUCUAUGCGAGUGUUUGGGUGUCAAACCCAUACGCGUAAUGAAAGUGAACGGAGGUGAGAACCCUUAAGGGUGCAUCAUCGACCGAUCCUGAUGUCUUCGGAAGGAUUUGAGUAAGAGCAUAGCUGUUGG